CCUACGGGAGGCAGCAGUGAGGAAUAUUGGUCAAUGGACGAGAGUCUGAACCAGCCAAGUAGCGUGAAGGAUGACUGCCCUAUGGGUUGUAAACUUCUUUUAUAUGGGAAUAAAACGUUCCACGUGUGGGAUUUUGUAUGUACCAUAUGAAUAAGGAUCGGCUAACUCCGUGCCAGCAGCCGCGGUAAUACGGAGGAUCCGAGCGUUAUCCGGAUUUAUUGGGUUUAAAGGGAGCGUAGGUGGAUUGUUAAGUCAGUUGUGAAAGUUUGCGGUUCAACCGUAAAAUUGCAGUUGAAACUGGCAGUCUUGAGUACAGUAGAGGUGGGCGGAAUUCGUGGUGUAGCGGUGAAAUGCUUAGAUAUCACGAAGAACUCCGAUUGCGAAGGCAGUUCACUGGACUGCAACUGACACUGAGGCUCGAAAGUGUGGGUAUCAAACAGGAUUAGAUACCCGAGUAGUC
rnacentral:rRNA from 1 species